rnacentral:rRNA from 1 species
ACUCCUACGGGAGGCUGCAGUGGGGAAUAUUGCACAAUGGGCGCAAGCCUGAUGCAGCAACGCCGCGUGAGGGACGACGGCCUUCGGGUUGUAAACCUCUUUUAGUAGGGAAGAAGCGAAAGUGACGGUACCUGCAGAAAAAGCACCGGCUAACUACGUGCCAGCAGCCGCGGUAAUACGUAGGGUGCAGGCGUUAUCCGGAAUUAUUGGGCGUAAAGAGCUCGUAGGCGGUUUGUCGCGUCUGCUGUGAAAACUGGAGGCUCAACCUCCAGCCUGCAGUGGGUACGGGCAGACUAGAGUGCGGUAGGGGAGAUUGGAACUCCUGGUGUAGCGGUGGAAUGCGCAGAUAUCAGGAAGAACACCGAUGGCGAAGGCAGAUCUCUGGGCCGUAACUGACGCUGAGGAGCGAAAGCAUGGGGAGCGAACAGGAUUAGAUACCCUGGUAGUCCAUGCCGUAAACGUUGGGAACUAGAUGUAGGGACCAUUCCACGGUUUCUGUGUCGCAGCUAACGCAUUAAGUUCCCCGCCUGGGGAGUACGGCCGCAAGGCUAAAACUCAAAGGAAUUGACGGGGGCCCGCACAAGCGGCGGAGCAUGCGGAUUAAUUCGAUGCAACGCGAAGAACCUUACCAAGGCUUGACAUAUACCGGAAAAGGCUAGAAAUAGUCUCCCCGCAAGGUCGGUAUACAGGUGGUGCAUGGUUGUCGUCAGCUCGUGUCGUGAGAUGUUGGGUUAAGUCCCGCAACGAGCGCAACCCUCGUUCUAUGUUGCCAGCACGUAAUGGUGGGAACUCAUAGGAGACUGCCGGGGUCAACUCGGA